rnacentral:rRNA from 1 species
UGGGGAAUUUUGGACAAUGGGGGAAACCCUGAUCCAGCCAUCCCGCGUGUGCGAUGAAGGCCUUCGGGUUGUAAAGCACUUUUGGCAGGAAAGAAACGUCACGGGUUAAUACCCCGUGAAACUGACGGUACCUGCAGAAUAAGCACCGGCUAACUACGUGCCAGCAGCCGCGGUAAUACGUAGGGUGCAAGCGUUAAUCGGAAUUACUGGGCGUAAAGCGUGCGCAGGCGGUUCGGAAAGAAAGAUGUGAAAUCCCAGAGCUCAACUUUGGAACUGCAUUUUUAACUACCGGGCUAGAGUGUGUCAGAGGGGGGUGGAAUUCCGCGUGUAGCAGUGAAAUGCGUAGAUAUGCGGAGGAACACCGAUGGCGAAGGCAGCCUCCUGGGAUAACACUGACGCUCAUGCACGAAAGCGUGGGGAGCAAACAGG